GACGAACGCUGGCGGCGCGCCUAACACAUGCAAGUCGAACGAGCUAGAGAGAGCUUGCUUUCUCAAGCGAGUGGCGAACGGGUGAGUAACGCGUGAGGAACCUGCCUCAAAGAGGGGGACAACAGUUGGAAACGACUGCUAAUACCGCAUAAGCCCACAGGUCGGCAUCGACCAGAGGGAAAAGGAGCAAUCCGCUUUGAGAUGGCCUCGCGUCCGAUUAGCUAGUUGGUGAGGUAACGGCCCACCAAGGCAACGAUCGGUAGCCGGACUGAGAGGUUGAACGGCCACAUUGGGACUGAGACACGGCCCAGACUCCUACGGGAGGCAGCAGUGGGGAAUAUUGCACAAUGGGGGAAACCCUGAUGCAGCGACGCCGCGUGGAGGAAGAAGGUCUUCGGAUUGUAAACUCCUGUUGUUGAGGAAGAUAAUGACGGUACUCAACAAGGAAGUGACGGCUAACUACGUG
rnacentral:rRNA from 1 species